AUGAACGCUGGCGGCGUGCCUAAUACAUGCAAGUCGAACGCUGGAGAUCUAGCUUGCUAGAUCGAAGGAGUGGCGAACGGGUGAGUAAUACAUAAGCAACCUACCCACGAAGUCUGGGAUAAUCUCUGGAAACGGGGACUAAUACCGGAUAGGUAAUCGGAAGGCAUCUUCUGGUUAUUAAAGGUUAAAAACACUGGUGGAUGGGCUUAUGGCGCAUUAGUUAGUUGGUGAGGUAACGGCCCACCAAGACGAUGAUGCGUAGCCGGCCUGAGAGGGUGAACGGCCACAUUGGGACUGAGACACGGCCCAGACUCCUACGGGAGGCAGCAGUAGGGAAUUGUCGGCAAUGGGGGCAACCCUGACCGAGCAACGCCGCGUGAGUGAAGACGGCCUUCGGGUUGUAAAGCUCUGUUGUAAGGGAAGAACGGUAGAUAGAGAAUAUCUAAGUGACGGUACCUUACCAGAAAGCCACGGCUAACUACGUG
rnacentral:rRNA from 1 species